AUUGAACGCUGGCGGCAGGCCUAACACAUGCAAGUCGAACGAGUGGCGGACGGGUGAGUAAUGUCUGGGAAACUGCCUGAUGGAGGGGGAUAACUACUGGAAACGGUAGCUAAUACCGCAUACCAUCGGAUGUGCCCUGAUGGGAUUAGCUCGUAGGUGGGGUAACGGCUCACCUAGGCGACGAUCCCUAGCUGGUCUGAGAGGAUGACCAGCCACACUGGAACGGAGACACGGUCCAGACGCCUACGGGAGGCAGCAGUGGGGAAUAUUGCACAAUGGGCGAAAGCCUGAUGCAGCCAUGCCGCGUGUGUGAAGAAGGCCUUCGGAUUGUAAAGUACUUUCAGCUGGGAGGCGUUACCCACAGAAGAAGCACCGGCUAACUCCGUGCCAGCAGCCGCGGUAAUUC
rnacentral:rRNA from 1 species